UACGUAGGGUGCAAGCGUUGUCCGGAAUUAUUGGGCGUAAAGAGCGUGUAGGCGGCCCGAUUAGUCCGCUGUGAAAGUCCAGGGCUCAACCCUGGAAUGCCGGUGGAUACUGUCGGGCUAGAGUCCGGAAGGGGCGAGUGGAAUUCCUGGUGUAGCGGUGAAAUGCGCAGAUAUCAGGAGGAACACCGAUGGCGAAGGCAGGUCUCUGGCAUUAACUGACGCUGAGGAGCGAAAGCAUGGGGAGCGAACAGG
rnacentral:rRNA from 1 species